rnacentral:lncRNA from 1 species
GCCAAAAAUUCGCCCAAAAAUUCAAGAUAUGGAAAAAAAAUAAAAACCUCCAUUAAAAACAACUCACUUAUAAAUCCUAGUUUUAAAUACUAACUUCCAGCAGUUCUUUUUUCUUUGUUUUAGAUUAGAAUGAAUAAAUUUUUUUUACAUAAAAUAUGAUUCUUUAAAUUUGCUUUCAAACCUUACUUUUUGAUUCCUCAAAGCUUUUCUAUAAUCCUUUAUAUGCUUAAAAGAGUAAUAGUAUGUACCAAAAUCACAUCCUAACUUCAAAAAAAUCAUAUUUUUUUCAUUAUGACUCCCAAUUACAUAUUUUUUUAUCCAAAUUUUAGUUCAAAAUUUAAAAUUUUUUAAUCCAACCUCCAAACUUUGAAUGCAUUGUUUUUCCUUAAAUGGUCCACCUUCCUUUAAAUGGAUCACCUUAAAGUAGUUAUAAACUUUAAUAUG